UGUUAUUGUCCCUGCAAGAGGAAGAGGUUUCAUAGUGCUCUGUCUCUCUCCCCCGUGGGUGGGCACAGUGAGAUGGCAGCUAUCUGCAAGCCAACAACAGAGCUCCACGAGAACCAGAAACAGCCAGCACCUUGAUCUUGAACCUCCCACCCCCAGAACUCUGAGAAAUAAGGGUCUGUUUAAGCCACCAGUCUGCACAUUUCUUAUCUCAACUUCAGUCCAUGGCUUCCCUUCAUUCUCUUAGUUUGGGAACAGCACAGGCCGGAGAGAGACUCGCUAAUUUCAAACGUCAUCUAGUAUCAAGGGUACUACUUAGAUGACUUAUGAAAAGCAAGUGUGAUUCCUCCCAUCCCAUUAUGGCCUUCAUAGGUGAUAAAACUGCACAAUCCAUUGGGUGUCCAUGAAUCCUUUUUCUUGCCAACAUGUGGAAGUGUGCACAUAUGUUCCUUAGCCAGACAUAGGAGGCGACUCCAAAAGAGAAAAGAGCAUAAAUGACUUAGUUUUGAC
rnacentral:lncRNA from 1 species